UNUGCCACUGACGCUGAGGCUCGAAAGCGUGGGUAGCGAACAGGAUUAGAUACCCUGGUAGUNCACGCCGUAAACGAUGAGUGCUAGGUGUUAGGCCCUUUCCGGGGCUUAGUGCCGGAGCUAACGCAAUAAGCACUCCGCCUGGGGAGUACGACCGCAAGGUUGAAACUCAAAGGAAUUGACGGGGGCCCGCACAAGCGGUGGAGCAUGUGGUUUAAUUCGAAGCAACGCGAAGAACCUUACCAGGUCUUGACAUCCCGAUGCUAUUCUUAGAGAUAGGAAGUUACUUCGGUACAUCGGAGACAGGUGGUGCAUGGUUGUCGUCAGCUCGUGUCGUGAGAUGUUGGGUUAAGUCCCGCAACGAGCGCAACCCUUAUUGUUAGUUGCCAUCAUUAAGUUGGGCACUCUAGCGAGACUGCCGGUAAUAAACCGGAGGAAGGUGGGGAUGACGUCAAAUCAUCAUGCCCCUUAUGACCUGGGCUACACACGUGUUACAAUGGCCGGUACAACGAGUUGCGAGCCGGUGACGGCAAGCUAAUCUCUGAAAGCCGAUCUCAGUUCGGAUUGGAGGCUGCAACUCGCCUCCAUGAAGUCGGAAUCGCUAGUAAUCGCGGAUCAGCACGCCGCGGUGAAUACGUUCCCGGGCCUUGUACACACCGCCCGUCACACCACGAGAGUUUGUAACACCCGAA
rnacentral:rRNA from 1 species